rnacentral:rRNA from 1 species
UGGGGAAUAUUGGACAAUGGGCGAAAGCCUGAUCCAGCAAUGCCGCGUGAGUGAUGAAGGCCUUAGGGUUGUAAAGCUCUUUUACCCGGGAAGAUAAUGACUGUACCGGGAGAAUAAGCCCCGGCUAACUCCGUGCCAGCAGCCGCGGUAAUACGGAGGGGGCUAGCGUUGUUCGGAAUUACUGGGCGUAAAGCGCACGUAGGCGGCUUUGCAAGUUAGAGGUGAAAGCCCGGAGCUCAACUCCGGAAUUGCCUUUAAAACUGCAUCGCUAGAAUUGUGGAGAGGUGAGUGGAAUUCCGAGUGUAGAGGUGAAAUUCGUAGAUAUUCGGAAGAACACCAGUGGCGAAGGCGACUCACUGGACACAUAUUGACGCUGAGGUGCGAAAGCGUGGGGAGCAAACAG